UGUUACUGAACUAUAGAAGAGAGAGAAACUUGUAUAUUCAAAAGAGUUCAAUACACAAACCAUCAACAUUACCUUUAUUCAACAUGCUGUCACUGCAGUAUUGUGUCUUUUCUCUGCUGUUUCUUUACAUUCUAACAGGUGUCAGCUGUGAAGAACUCACUCCAGUCAAGAAUGAAGAGUACAGUUUAGAAGGCAGCACUGUUACUCUGUCCUACAGAUACUCCAAACAAGCAGCUGGGGAUGAUUAUUUCUUCUGGUAUCGACAAUAUCCAGGAAAACCACCAGAGUUCCUCAUCUCCCAUUCAGGAGGUGGAACAAAAAUAAGCAAUCCAAUUCCUGGACUGUCUGUUACAGUGAGUGAGGAUAAAACCCAAAUGGACCUGCAGAUCUCCUCUGCUGUAGUGACAGACUCUGCUGUGUACUACUGUGCUGUGAAGCCCACAGUGACAGGAAACACCAAAACUCUGUACAAAAACAUUAUGAGCAAAGACAACACAAUACUCCACAACAUCCACUAGAGGGAGUCACACACUGUUAGACUUCAACAGUUUGUGACGAUACAGUCGAGAAAAACAACUGGAAAUAAAGCACUGAAGAUGAAACACAAAAUGAAGGAAAGUUUCAUACAACACAAAGCAAAAUGAUAAUGAGGUGUGACA